AUUGAACGCUGGCGGCAGGCCUAACACAUGCAAGUCGAGCGGAUGAAGGUAGCUUGCUACCUGAUUCAGCGGCGGACGGGUGAGUAAUGCCUAGGAAUCUGCCUGGUAGUGGGGGACAACGUUUCGAAAGGAACGCUAAUACCGCAUACGUCCUACGGGAGAAAGUGGGGGAUCUUCGGACCUCACGCUAUCAGAUGAGCCUAGGUACGAUUAGCUAGUUGGUGAGGUAAAGGCUCACCAAGGCGACGAUCGUUAACUGGUCUGAGAGGAUGAUCAGCAAAACUGGAACUGAGAAACGGUCCAGACUCCUACGGGAGGCAGCAGUGGGGAAUAUUGGACAAUGGGCGAAAGCCUGAUCCAGCCAUGCCGCGUGUGUGAAGAAGGUCUUCGGAUUGUAAAGCACUUUAAGUUGGGAGGAAGGGCAGUAAGUUAAUACCUUGCUGUUUUGACGUUACCGACAGAAUAAGCACCGGCUAACUUCGUGCCAGCAGCCGCCGUAA
rnacentral:rRNA from 1 species